rnacentral:rRNA from 1 species
AUUGAACGCUGGCGGCAUGCUUUACACAUGCAAGUCGAACGGAGUUGGAGCUUGCUCCAAUUUAGUGGCGAACGGGUGAGUAAUAUAUCGGAACGUACCCGGCAAUGGGGGAUAACGUAGCGAAAGUUACGCUAAUACCGCAUAUGCCCUGAGGGGGAAAGCAGGGGACCAGCAAUGGCCUUGCGUUGUCGGAGCGGCCGAUAUCGGAUUAGCUAGUUGGUGAGGUAAAGGCUCACCAAGGCGACGAUCCGUAGCGGGUCUGAGAGGAUGAUCCGCCACACUGGGACUGAGACACGGCCCAGACUCCUACGGGAGGCAGCAGUGGGGAAUUUUGGACAAUGGGGGCAACCCUGAUCCAGCCAUGCCGCGUGAGUGAAGAAGGCCUUCGGGUUGUAAAGCUCUUUCAGACGGGAAGAAAAGGUUUCGGAUAAUACCUGGAGCUGAUGACGGUACCGUAAGAAGAAGCACCGGCUAACUACAUGCCAGCAGCCGCCGUAA